CGUGAUACGCUGGCGGCGUGCAUAACUUCCAUGCAGUCGAACGAUGAAACUUUAAUGAACCCUUCGGGGAGAAUUAAAGCGGCAUUAGUGGCGAACGGGUGAGUAACGCGUGAGUAACCUGCCUUACACAAGGGGAUAGCCUUUGGAAACGAAGAAUAAUACCCUAUAAAACCAUAAAAGCACAUGCAAUUAUGGUCAAAGUGAUAGCGGUGUAAGAUGGACUUGCGUCUGAUUAGCUAGUUGGUGAGAUAAAAGCCCACCAAGGCAACGAUCAGUAGCCGGCUUGAGAGAGUGUACGGCCACAUUGGGACUGAGACACGGCCCAGACUCCUACGGGAGGCAGCAGUGGGGAAUUUUGCACAAUGGGGGAAACCCUGAUGCAGCGACGCCGCGUGAUUUAGAAGGCCUUCGGGUUGUAAAAAUCUUUUGUAUAGGAAGAAAAUGACAGUACUAUACGAAUAAGGUCCGGCUAAUUACGUGCCAGCAGCCGCGGUAAUACGUAAGGACCGAGCGUUGUCCGGAAUCAUUGGGCGUAAAGGGUACGUAGGCGGCUAGAAAAGUUAGAAGUCAAAGGCUAUAGCUCAACUAUAGUAAGCUUCUAAAAACUAUUUAGCUUGAGAGAUGGAAGGGAAAGUGGAAUUCGCUAGUGUAGCGGUGGAAUGCGCAGAUAUUAGGAGGAAUACCGUGGCGAAGGCGACUUUCUUGGCCAUUGUUCNGACGCUGAGGUACGAAAGCGUGGGUAGCAAACAGGAUUAGAUACCCUGGUAGUCCACGGCCGUAAACGAUGAUGUUAGGUGUCUGGAGUCAAAUCUGGGUGCCGCAGCAAACGCAUUAAACACUCCGCCUGGGGAGUACGCACGCAAGUGUGAAACUCAAAGGAAUUGACGGGGACCCGCACAAGCAGCGGAGCAUGUGGUUUAAUUCGACGCAACGCGAAGAACCUUACCAAGUCUUGACAUAUUUUAGAAGCAAUUAGAGAUAAUUGCCUAUAUCUUCGGAUAACUAAAAUACAGGUGGUGCAUGGUUGUCGUCAGCUCGUGUCGUGAGAUGUUGGGUUAAGUCCCAUAACGAGCGCAACCCCUAUUGCUAGUUACCAUCAUUAAGUUGGGGACUCUAGUAAUACUGCCGGUGACAAACCGGAGGAAGGUGGGGAUGACGUCAAAUCAUCAUGCCCUUUAUGACUUGGGCUACACACGUGCUACAAUGGCAGGUACACAGGGAAGCAAGACUGUGAAGUUAAGCAAACUCAAAAAGCCUGUCCCAGUUCGGAUGCACUCUGCAACUCGAGUGCAUGAAGUUGGACUGCUAUAAUCGCAGUCAGAUC
rnacentral:rRNA from 1 species